rnacentral:rRNA from 1 species
ANGGCGAGCCUGAUGGAGCACGCCGCGUGCAGGAUGAAGGCCUUCGGGUUGUAAACUGCUUUUAUGAGUGAAGAAUAUGACGGUAACUCAUGAAUAAGCACCGGCUAACUACGUGCCAGCAGCCGCGGUCAUACGUAGGGUGCAAGCAUUAUCCGGAGUGACUGGGCGUAAAGAGUUGCGUAGGUGGUUUAUUAAGUGAAUAGUGAAAGCUGGUGGCUCAACCAUACAGACUAUUAUUCAAACUGAUAGACUCGAGAGUAGUAGAGGUAACUGGAAUUUCUUGUGUAGGAGUGGAAUCCGUAGAUAUAAGAAGGAACACCAAUGGCGUAGGCAGGUUACUGGACUAUCUCUGACACUGAGGCACGAAAGCGUGGGGAGCGAACCGGAUUAGAUACCCGGGUAGUCCACGCCGUAAACGAUGGAUACUAGCUGUUGGAGGUAUCGACCCCUUCAGUAGCGAAGCUAACGCGUUAAGUAUCCCGCCUGUGGAGUACGGCCGCAAGGCUAAAACAUAAAGGAAUUGACGGGGACCCGCACAAGCGGUGGAUUAUGUUCUUUAAUUCGAUGAUAACCGAAGAACCUUACCAGGGCUUGACAUCUAGGGAAGGACUACGAAAGUAGUUUGUGCCUUUUUGGAACCCUAUGACAGGUGAUGCAUGGCCGUCGUCAGCUCGUGUCGUGAGAUGUUAGGUUAAGUCCUUCAACGAGCGCAACCCUUAUUGUCUGUUGUAUUUUUCAGGCAAGACUGCCCCGGUAACGGGGAGGAAGGAGGGGAUGAUGUCAGGUCAGUAUUUCCCUUACGUCCUGGGCUAGAAACGUAAUACAAUGGCAAGUACAAUGCGCAGCGAAGCCGCGAGGUGAAGCAAAUCGCAUCAAAGCUUGUCCCAGUUCGGAUUGGANGCUGAAA